UAUUCACAGUGAACCGUGGGGCCUCUCCUCUAAUUCCACUUUCUAUUAUAAGUGCUACCUAUUUGAAUUCUUUGCACAUUAACUCUCCAAAACACAUUCACGGCUUGCAUUAGAUACCAGAAUUGAUCCACCUGAGUUUUUUAAGUUGUGUGGAUUCCUAUUUGUUCGUCCAGCAAAAGCAAGAAUCUUAUUCCAGGAUAUAAGAGGAAUUUUUCUGACUUGGAUUAGGGGAAUCCACUCUCUCUGUUGUGUUGAGAGCUUCACCCUCUCAUUCUCAUGGAAGAUUCUCAGAUUUAUUAUAUCUCUGUUCCUCUCCUUGGUCUCAGAGGUUUUCUUUCAGUUGUCAUCGUACGUGGUGAAACUAGUCAUAUUAUAUAAUCGGAUUUUAAUUGAAUGUUAACUAUACCACAGGUAGUAGAUGGGGACAUGAAAUAUUGUUUUAACUGGUUGUAUUUGGAGAAUGUAGAGGAAGAUUCUGUUGACUGGAGCACAUGAAAGCUUUGGAAUUAGAUACAAAACAAGAAAAAGAAAAAAAAAAUGAUGGAAAGAUGCUUGUCCUUGGACAUUGUUUGAAGGCAAGGAAUGGAAUAAGGAAUACAUUCUCUUUUGUUUCCUUCAGUAAGUUUGGUACUUAUUCAGCCCACAUAGUAUAAAAUAGAAGAGGGGCCCAAUUCUUUUUUCAUUAUCAAUUGGCAUAAGAUAGCCGGCGCUGCACCAACGAAUCCUAAUCAUCUGGGACCCAAUUAAAAGAAAAGAGAAGGAUUGUACUUGCUUCCAUAUUUACAUUUGAUGAAAGAAAAGACAAUUCUUGCCCUGGAGAUGACUACCUGCCCUUGACUCCUGCCUCUAUUGGCUAGAUUCUCUUCACCAAAAGCCAUGCAUGUGUCAACUGCAUGUUCUGGAUGCUUAUGCUGUUGUAUUGAAUUUCAAUGAAGGAUCUGUUCUUGAGGAAUAAACUGAAACUAAAUUUAACCGAACUCAACUGCUAUGGGUGAGGUCCCACCCAGAUAUUUAACCCAAUGCAAUCUUUUCUUCUCAUUUUUCCCUCUACCUUUUCAAGAAUAUUUCUUUCAAACCACUAACUUGAGAACAUUUUUUUAACCUUUUAGGAAUUGUUCCUCUAUAUUGAUGCUUAUGAUGAUGCAACAAUGCUGUUUG